AGAGCAGGACAGAUGGUCGCUGUUCGAGAGGGGUCAGGUCUUGACAUUUGACACAAUUAACAAUAUGGGAGGAGAUACUUGGCUUGAGGCUUUUGUGUCAAAUGUCAAGACCUGACCCCAAAACGAAGGGAGGAAAGUCCGGGCUCCACAGGGCAGGGUGCUCCGUAACACGGAGUCCCGGCGACGGGAAGGAAAGUGCCACAGAAAACAUACCGCCCCAUUGGAUGGCGAGCUCAUCUGAUUGGGUAAGGGUGAAAAGGCGAGGUAAGAGCUCACCGCUCCGGUGGCGACAUCGGAGGCUUGGCAAACCCCACCUGGAGCAAGACCAAAUAGAGAGGCGUUUGAGGGUUGCCCGCCCGAGUCUCCGGGUAGGUCGCUUGAUCCCGCCGGCAACGGCGGGACUAGAUGAAUGACCAUCGUCCCAUAGAGGGUGACCGAUAUGGGAAACAGAACCCGGCUUAUGGCCUGCUCUAACA
rnacentral:RNase_P_RNA from 1 species